rnacentral:lncRNA from 1 species
GAUAUUAUUUGAGAUGUAAACAAAUGGAAUGAUUAAUAAAAAAUUUAAAAAAAUAAAUUUUUUAAUGAAAUUGAGUUGUAAAUUAUUUGUUAUGGAACAUGUAGAUAUGUGCUUGAAUCUCUAACUACUGCAUAGAAAACAAACAAAUGAACAAUUAAACCAUAUGCGAUGGUCUUCCCUGACAAGCUGCUGAUCUCUAGGUGCCAAUCACAAAAAUAUGGUGGGAUUGGAUUCAGGAUAAGGCUACAUGAUGAUUUUUGUCCUCCCCAAGCCUGUGUUCAUAUGUGCAGCAUCUUUACACAUGCGAAGACUCAUUUACAAAUACUUAUUAAUAUAGACAAUUUUGUAAUCAUUUAAAGAAUUCAUAUGAUUAGAAAUUUCAUAUGAUGAUAUUGAAUAGUUAAUUUCCUUCUCAUAUAAACUGAGAUAAUAAUGCAUAAGGUAAAUUGUCAUAAAACAUUAAUUAUAAGAAAACCCUUUAUGGUUUGUACAUAUGACGAGGAGUCUACACAUUUAUGGAUGGUUUAUUCAUUUAAAAUUCACAAAAAAUAAAACAUAACACAACGACAACAAAAACAACAACAACAACAACAACAACAACAACAACAACAACAACAACAAGUAAUUGGCAUGAGUCUACUCCUUAGGCUCGGUUUUGAAUGUUAGUAGAAUUAAGAAUUCGAGGAAUUGAAAGUCCUUAAUUCUGUUCAGUAUGGCUUGAUUCUACAUGUGUUAACAUAUUUUCCUUGUUCAUGAAACUUUUUGACAGUGACUAGAAACAGAAGUCACCCUUUUGUAUAGAUAAAGGGUUUCUUCUGAAAUAAAUCACUUCUGUUAAUUUUAAAGUAGCUUUUAGAAACCAUGUGAUAAUGAAGUUUCUAAUAUUUUGUGGACCCUGGCAUUUGACUGGACAGUGUCUUCUGUUAUCCCUCAGAAGAAGAAUAACAGUUUCAUCUAACGCAGACCACUAAGAGCUCCCAAAGACUAAGCCAAACAUCAAGGACAAUACAUGGACUGGUUUCUGGCCCCAGGCACAUGUGUACCUUGUAUGGCUAUAGUGGGAGAGGAUGCACUUUAUCCUGUGGAAUUGUAAUGCCCCAGGGAGGAGUAAUGCUGAUGUGGGUAGAGAUGCAGGAGAGGGAGCACCCUCUCAGAGGUGGGUGGGGGAGGAUGGGGUGAAUAUAUCAGGGAGGGGGGACUUGAAAGGGGAACAAGUUUUGGAAUGUAAAUAAAAUAAUUUAAUAAAAAACUAUCAAUCAACUUGAGAUUGUCUAUUUGUUAUCUAAGUAUGUAAUAUAAACUUUCUAUAAAAUUGUGAUAUAUGUUUAAUGACAGACUCUGUAGCAAAAUAAAUUGGAGAUCAAAUAAAGAAGAUAAAGCAGUUGGCUUUUCAUUCCUACAUGCUUUUUUUACACAUUUAACAUUCGUGCACAUAUGAAUAAAUAAAUACACACCAAUAUCCCAACCUAUUAUCAUAGGUUGUGCAUAUAAUAUUAUAGGAUAUUCAAUAAUAUUAACUUUGCAUGAGCAAAGGAAACUUUAUAGGUUUUAGAAUGGUCUCAAACUUCCUAUAUAAAUCCAAUCAGUGGACAGAAGCCAAGGAUCCCUGUGGAAAUACUUGAAGAAGCUGAGGAGGAGGGCAACCCCUUAGGAAGACCAGCUGUCUCAACUAACCUGGACACUUGGGAUCUUUCAGAUAGGAGCCCCCAACCAGGCAGCAUACACUAGCUGAUAUGAGCCCCGACCCAGGCACAUAUACAGCAGAGGACUGCCUGGUCUGGCCUCAAUGAAAGAAGAUACACCUAACCCUUGAAAAACUUGAAGUCUGGUGGGGUGGGGGUAGGGAAGUGGGGGCAUCCUAUUGGAGAAAGGGGGGAGGAAUGGGAUGAGGAACUAUUGGAGGGUGGUCUGGGAGGGCAUAACAACUGAACUGUAAAACAAAAAUUAAAGAGAAUUUUAAAAAAUUCAUCUGCUUAAAAGCCUUUGUGAAAAACGUUUAUUAUUGUGCUUUCGUUAUUGAAAACAGUAUUUCACAGCAUAGUCUAGAAUUUGGAAUGAGUCUCUUGAACCUGGAAGGUGAGAUACUCUCAAAUCUCAAAGCAAAAGACCAAGCAGAGUGUGAACUUGUAGAGUUUACCUCCAGUAGAAAGAAAAGGCAUCAAGUGGAGGGAUGGGAUUGUCAUCCUAUAGCCAAAAUUUCUGACCCAGAUUUGUUUCUGUCUGAAAAAAAACUGCAGUUUGAGGCAAAAAUGAAGAGCCUGAGGAAAAGGAGUUCCAGUGACAAACCCAAAAUUGGAUCCAGCUCAACGGGAGGCCCCAAGACCUGACACUAUUGCUGAUGCUAUGGUGUGCUUAUAAAGAGCAGCCUAUCAGGACUGCCCUUAAAUGUCCAAGGAACAGCAUAUAGAGUCAGAUGCAGAUUUUUACACCUAACCAGUAGACAGAAGACAGUUACCCCAGUGGUUGCAUUAGGAAAAGCUGGAUUAAGGUGAUGAGGAAGAUGACCCUAUAGGAAGACCACCAAUCUCAACUAUCCUGGACCAUUGAGAUCUCUCAGACACGGAGCCAGCAAGCAGGCAUCAUACAGCAGCUGAUAUGAGGCCUCCAACACAUACACAGCACAGAACUGCCAGGUCUGGACUCAGACAGAGAAGGUAGAAAUAAGCCUCAAGAGAAUUGGAACACCAGGGAGUGGGGAUGGUGUGGGGACAUACUUUUGGAGAUGGGGUCGGGGAGGUGGUGUGGGGUAUGGAACAUUUGGAUUGUGUACCAGGAGGGGGAUAAAGUCUGGAGUGUAAAAAAAGAUUAAAGAAUAAGUUAAAAAAAUAGAAAGGAGUCUCUGGUCUCUUAAGUUAAUGCAUGUAAUUAACUGAUUUUCCAUCUUAAUAACUGAAACUAAAGCAUUACAACUCUAGUAAGAAGCAAAUAAAUCACAAACAGAUAUUCAAAAAAUAUGUUCUUAGCAUGUAACAUCACUUUAUUACAAUAUUGGAAUAUUUAAUAAAAUAUGCUUAAAUAAUUUUUAAAGAGCACAUAUCUGACUAAUUUUAUGUUACAUCAAAAGUUAAGGACUUGUUUGUAAUUUUACAAUCUUCGUAUAGAAUUACAGGGACCUCAUAAUCUAGAAUGAUUUGCAUUGACAUUUGAUUUAAUUUGUUCUCUAAUGUCUCUUUAUAUUUUUGGGGGAAGAAUCGUGUUUCUGUCUUUACAAAAUUUAUGAGCAGUUAUUGUUAUAUCAUAAUCCUGAAUAUUAAGAUACAUUUCACUCUUGUGCUUAUAGAAAAUAUAAGUUACAUUCAUUACAUACAUACAUUACAUUAUAUUUCAGUAUUGUGCCUUUAGCAUGUAAUGUGUGCUUCUGAUUCUGAAUGCCACCAUGCUGCUCACCGCGUUCAAACUCAUCACAGAAGCCAUGAUUCCACCCAGCAUCAUGCGAAGCUCACAACAGACACAGACCGCCACUUGCUGCUGAUGGUAUUGUAAAACUACAUGGUCUCUGACUUUCAUUUUUGAAUUUUGAUUGUAUGUGUAUAAAAUCAAUAGAAAUUUAGAUUUUUCUCAUGUAGUAUCGGUUUGCUGAGUUAGGAUUAGACUUGGUCAUAUUCAUAAUUCCUUGUUUUCUAUACAUAAGAUUAUGUUUUUAAAAAACAUUACAAAAUCGUUUUCUUUGCAUUAAGCAUCACAUACUUAAGAAAGAAAAGACCUAGUAUUAAUAUUAUUUUAUAAUUUUACCAUGGGUGUCAUCAUUUCUUUUCUCCAACUUCUCUCAGAUUCACCCUAAGUGCAAACAAACUUCAGAUACUCUAGAUUAAGUAUGAGCACUAAAGCUGACUGUUUCCCACAUUCACUAUCCCUUUCUCCACUACUAGAAAUAGAAU